CUACGGGAUGCAGCAGUGGGGAAUAUUGGACAAUGGGGGAAACCCUGAUCCAGCAAUGCCGCGUGUGUGAAGAAGGCCUGCGGGUUGUAAAGCACUUUCGGUUGGGAGGACUGCUUCUAGCACUAAUAUUGUUGGAAGUUGACGUUACCUUCAGAAGAAGCACCGGCUAACUCCGUGCCAGCAGCCGCGGUAAUACGGAGGGUGCAAGCGUUAAUCGGAAUUACUGGGCGUAAAGCGCGCGUAGGCGGCUAGAUCAGUCGGGUGUGAAAGCCCCGGGCUUAACCUGGGAACUGCAUCCGAUACUGGCUAGCUUGAGUACAGGAGAGGAGAGUGGAAUUCCACAUGUAGCGGUGAAAUGCGUAGAUAUGUGGAGGAACACCAAUGGCGAAGGCAGCUCUCUGGCCUGAUACUGACGCUGAGGUGCGAAGGCGUGGGGAGCAAACAGGAUUAGAUACCCCUGUAGUC
rnacentral:rRNA from 1 species